AUUCCAGCUCCAAUAGCGUAUAUUAAAGUUGUUGCAGUUAAGACGCUCGUAGUCGGAUUUCGGGGCGGGCCGACCGGUCUGCCGAUGGGUAUGCACUGGCCGGAGACCGCGCCUACUCUUAACUGAGCGGGCGCGGGAGACGGGUCUUUUACUUUGAAAAAAUCAGAGUGUUUCAAGCAGGCAGUCGCUCUUGCAUGGAUUAGCAUGGGAUAAUGAAAUAGGACUCUGGUGCUAUUUUGUUGGUUUCGAACACCGGAGUAAUGAUUAACAGGGACAGUCAGGGGCACUCGUAUUCCGCCGAGAGAGGUGAAAUUCUCAGACCAGCGGAAGACGAACCACUGCGAAAGCAUUUGCCAGGGAUGUUUUCAUCA
rnacentral:rRNA from 1 species